UACGUAGGGAGCAAGCGUUGUUCGGAUUUACUGGGCGUAAAGGGCGCGUAGGCGGCAAAUUAAGUCAGCUGUGAAAUCUCCGAGCUUAACUCGGAACGGUCAGCUGAUACUGAUCUGCUAGAGUGCGGAAGGGGCAAUCGGAAUUCUUGGUGUAGCGGUGAAAUGCGUAGAUAUCGUAAGGAAGACCAGUGGCGAAGGCGGGUCUCUGGACAGUUCCUGACGCUGAGGCACGAAGGUCAGGGGAGCAAACGGG
rnacentral:rRNA from 1 species